AAAUAUAUUCCAAUCUCAUAUA
rnacentral:snRNA from 1 species